rnacentral:lncRNA from 1 species
CUGGCGUGCAGUGGCACCAUCUGGGCUCAUUGCAACCUCUGCCUCCCGGGUUUGAGAAAUUCUCCUGCCUCAGUCUCCUGAGUAUCUGGGAUUACAGGCACCCGCCACCACGCCUGGCUAAUUUUUUAAAUAUUUUUAGUAGAGACAGGGUUUCACCAUGUUGACCAAGCUAGCCUCAAACUCCUGACCUCAGGUGAUCUACCCACCUUGGCUUCACAAAGUGCUGGGAUUACAGGCAUGGGCCACUUUUCUAUUUGUUUAUUUUUGUGUUGGUUUUUCUAUUUUUGGUGUUUCUGGAUCAUGGACUUUGAAAAACUUCCUGGCUUAGCAAAUUAGUGUCCUUGUUUCAGUAGCUUCUGCUUGAAGAUUUCUGCUGUAGGCAAUGAGCCAACUGGCCAGAAAAUAUCCAGUUAUGCUCUGCAGGUUCAUGGUGGAUGGGGACUUUCACUGUUGUUUAGAGAAACCAUUGAGUGGAUAACGUUCCAAACAGCAAAAUCAAAUGGGGAUUCUGUACACUCGGGAGUGUCGGCUCUGGACAAAUUAGGUUGCACUUGAUUGUAAGAAGCCAGGCUUUAUUAAAAUAGAAUAUAAAUAUUAACAGAAACGGACUGCUUCUAAUCCCCACUACCGUUGGCCAGGGAGGCCUCUCUUCAGGUUUUCUGAAUGGAACUAAAUAAGGAGCCCAUGUUACCGCGGAAAGGGCACUGUGAUUAGGAGCCUUUCAUGAGCUUCCAUGAACGUCUAGGGCUUGGAAACUUCAUUUUCAAAAUAAGGCUGUUGGAUUAGAUGAUUUUCCCAACCCCUAACCCUCUGUGUUAAUGAAUGGACUGACUCUAUAAUCAUGUUCCUUGGACAUUUCUAUGGAAACACUGAGCCAUCAUAAGGGAGGCCUUCAUUCUGAUGUAACAAAGCCAGCUGUGUCCACAUGAGAACAUUGGCAAGAGUGGGGACAUGGAAGCUGUGUUCAGGCCGGUCCACGCUGGGUGACCCAUGUGACCUGCUGCUUAGCAAUUCCUUGUCACCAUCUUCCCUUCUCAGCCUCUUUUUUCAUGCUAACAGGCAUAAAUGAAAUGAUAAAAGUUUGAGCUCUUCUCGUGGAAUUCUCGUGAUACAGAUAUGUGCUACAUGUUCAUCAUCUCGUUGGUCUUCACCAUGAUAACUGUGGAGUAAGAAUUAUAAGCAGGUCACAGAUUAGGGACUUGAGAUUGACAGUUUGGCUUCCCUGUUCUGGGUGGCAAAGCCUGUGGAGUACUCACCUACCUGCUGCAUGAAGGCAGCAUGGAGGGACUGUGGUGGAUUAUCUGCAAAGAUGGCCAAAAUUCUCUCAUCCCUGCAGGCACAUACAAGAAUGAGGAAGAAAGAUGAAGAAUGAGGAGGAAGAAGGAAGGAACGAGAGAGAGGUUGUUGCAUGGCAUAAGUAAAGUGACAGUUAUAGGAUACAUGCAACUUUUCAGUGACAAAGAUCUGUGCAGCAUCGACAGUACUGCCUAAUGAGGUUUCACCAUAAUGAAGUAUCACAACCAGUUUACAGACCAGAAAACUGAGACACAGGAAGGGGUGGUGACUUGAGCAAGGUGCAUCAGCUGGAAAUUGAAGUAUACAGAAUGCUUAUUUGGUCUACUCAGUAUCAUCCUAAAUGUAUGUACCAAUGCUUAGGAGUUUGCAGUUCACCCGCAAACCUCAGCGAUCCAAGCUCCCCUGGAUGACCAUCACUCACCAAGAAAAGAGCAAUAACAGGACCUGUUUUGCUAAUCCAGGACUGUUCUCCAGCACUAACUCUAAAUAAUCCCUUCUGCUAGAGUCCACUUUCUGGAACCUGUUGUGAGUAUUGUGAAUUGUUCUCCAACCUCUAUUCUAGUUAUCUCAUUUCCAUUGAGACUAGCAAAAGCACUUGCUUGAGAUUCUGUGUUCAAGUUUCAACUUUAGCAACUCACUUUUCCUUUAGGCCUCCGUUUUCAACGUUUCCCAAACUUGGUCCGUUGUGUGAGCUGGCUGAUAAAAGUUCCAGGUAACCUUCCUUGUUCUCAAGGUCCAUUUUCCAGGAAAAUCUGAGUCAUGGUGCUGGGGAGGACACUUAAGUACAUCAGUCAAUCAGAUGAUUAUUAAAUUUAGGAAAUAGUAGAUCAACUGGAUUAACUGGAUUAAAAUGCAGAAUCCCAGGCCCCAGCCCAGACCUACUGAACCAGCAUCUGCUCUUUAACAAGAGCCCCAUGUGAUGUGUGGGACAGAAAACUUUGUGAAGCACAGGGCUAGACAGUCUCUAAAGUCUUCUGCAGAUCAGAAACGCAGCAAUUCUGAGGUUUUCUUCAAUUUUCUAAUGUUAUUUCCAGCUCUUUCCCCUCUCUUCUUUCCUUGAUAUGCUGAGGAAAACUUUCUCUGUGAUAAGCAGAGUAGGUGUCUUGUUCUGUGAAUUUCUAAUGUCUCUGCAAGGGCUUCAUAUGUUGAAGGAAGUUGGGACUCAGGGGGUUAACUGCAAAACACAUUACCAUAGGACAGCUGCCACGGCAUCACAUUCUAAAAUCUGAUAAAUGAAAAAUGGGCAUGGUAUCAAAUUUAAUCACAUUUGUAUUCAGAUGUUGUUGAGAGCAGACACUGAUUUAUGAACUAGCAACAGACACCAGAUUUCCUGCCUAUGUUAUAUACAUAUGAAUGGGUGGACGGAUGGAUAGAUAAACAGACAGUGAAAUUAUGUUGCAAAUUACAUGGCACCAGACCUGUUUAUAACCUAGAUCUCAUCAAACUAAUAUUAAAAACUACUACAGAUAUAUUUUUUUUUCCUGGGCAGUAGCUGGUGGUCUUACUUUUACCCUGAAAAACAGACUUCUUUCAAAGGAUUCUCUUUCUUAAUUUGUGCAGCAUUGAAAAUGCUUCUGCUUUGCUCAGUAGAUAGCAUUAUCAUAUUUAUAUACAGAAAAAUGUUCUUUAUGGGAUGGAAAAGGAUAAAGGGAUGUUCAAACCAUUGCUGCGUUCUGUUGCGCACCCUCCCACUCCCUGACAACUCCGUUAAAACAUCAACAGUACAAGGGGCCACUGUAUAUUUCUGGGAUUACACACCAAGAUCUAGGCUUUUAGAGGACCUGUGAAGGGCUGAGGUGGAAGAGGAGAACAUUCAACAUGGAUUAAUAAUAAAAAAAUUAAGCAACUUUCCUCUCAGUUCAGCAAAGUAGGGAGAUCUAGGUUCAGUGUUUCUUGAUAUUUACAGUUUUGAAGGUAAAUCACUUGGCUGAUGAGGUUCUCUAUUUUGGGGCAGAUACUGCUUAAUAUCACCAGAGACAUCUAGCCAUCUUCGCAGUAUGUUUUCUUUACUACGCCUUUUCCUUGUAGAGACUUCCUGUAUUUGGCAAAUUUAAUCAAAUUUUAUUUAUCUUUCAGAGGUCACAUAGGUACAUUCACUCACUUUCAACCAAUAUUUCUUAAGACUGUGUUACGCUGUGCACAGGAGACAAGACACAGAAAUAGAUGACCCAUGAUUUGUCUUCUUUUUAUUUAAAAAAAAAAAAGAAGAAGAAGCUCUGUAUCUGUGAACAAGUCAGAUAGACACAGAUGAUUUCAGCAUAAUUAGGAGGAAUCACUGAGCUCAGCCCAGGGAGCUAGACUAGCUCAGAGGAGUACCUGAUUCACACUAGGAAGGUAUUGGCACAGGCUUCCUGGAAGUGGAGACACUGAAUGGAAUUCUAAAGGAUGUGAUACCUUCUACAUGUUCUUUAAGAUACAGGAUGGUGGGUGUUCUUAAUGGAGAAGUAGGAGAAAAGGGUUUUCCUGGUGUGAGAAACAAUGGAGAUUAGAAAAAGCAUGAUAAUCAGAGGACAAUUCACAGCUGUGGUAUGACUGGAAUAAAACCAUCCAUCCUCCAGAUGCCAGGAGGCAGGCACAACAGUCACUGUCCUGUGGCCUUCAUUCCUUGGGGAAAACACCACAAUGGUCAUCACCUGAACAAAUGGAGUGGGGAGAUGUGGAAGUGAAAGAAAGGGAACGCUGAAGAAGACAGUAUCAGAGACCCAGUAGCAAUGAAACCUCAAUUGGCACAGAGGAUUUGGGAAGAAGGACCCAGAUUUGAGUAUUUUCAGCUCUAGGUGCUGAAGAUGUUCAUGACCAAAUAGACAUGGUAGUUGAGGGAAAGAGGGUUUUAGGGAGCCCUUCUCCUUGGAAUUCUAGGUAAGUGAUGAUGCUAUUUACUAAGAGAAGACAUCCAGAAGAAGGAGCUUGCAUUGUCUUUAUUUUGAUUUUGUUUUGGUGGAAUUGAGAAUACAAUGUAUUAUUACUGUGGAGGAGGUGGAAAUAAUGCCAACUUAAACCUUCCCUCCCCUAGGGAGCUCUCCCUAACAAUCUGGGCUGGAAAGAGUGUGUUCCUUUAGGAAACAAAGCAUGUAUUACCCAUUGAGAAUCCAUUAUUACUUUGAAUUUUUAGUUUUGUUUUCAUGUGUUGCUUUAUCUUCUUAAUUAAAUUAUCUCUUCUAGGGAGAAGACAUCUUACUCUUAUUGGAUCAUGCACAGUGCCUGAAGCAUUCUGUUGCAUGUAGAAGGUAUUGGUGGAUGUUUGUUAAUUGAUUUGUUGAAUUUUUUUUCACUGAACACAUUCCCAAGAAACAGCCAAACCCAGAGUAAGGAAACCAUCUGGCAAGAACCGCUCAAGAGAAUGCUUCUUGGCUCUCACAUCUUAAAGGUCUUAAAAUAGCUAACAUUUAUUGAACAUUUUACUAUAUGCCAGGUAUUAUGGGCUAAGCCCAUUAUAUAUGUGAUCUCAUAUAAUUAAUCUUCAAAACAAUCUUGUGUCAUAAAUGCUACAAAUACUUUGAUUUUAAAACUGAUGAAAAUGAGAUUCAGGGAGAUUGUCAUUUUAUUUGCAGUCAGUAAAUUGCAGAUGUAAGAUUCAAAACCAGACUUCACAUCUACCGACUUCAGUGACCCUGAAAUUUGUUCACAGAGAGCAUUUAACAUAACUGUCUUCAUCAUCUCCUUCUCUACAUUAAAAAUUAUGGGUAAGUCUCUUGCUUUUCCAGUCUUCAUUGCUUUUCUAGUCUUAGAAAUAUUAUACAAAGACAAGAAAUACAAGAGACUUACUCAUAGCUAUGUGUCCAGAGCUAGAGUUAGAAUUCGCAUCUAGAUCUUGAGACAGGUAACUUCUUACUCUACUGCGUUGGUUUUAAGACAAAUCUGUUGAGGCAAACUUUUUGCUGGGCACUGUAGGCAACAGAAAGAAACUGAGGGUCUGCUAUUUGUCUCCAGAGGCCUUACAAACUGGUAGAAGAUGCAUAACAGAAGAGCUUAUGAAGUUAAAGAUGACAGCAUAGCAGCACUGGUGAGAUCCUUUUAGACAUAACAUGGUAGGAAGGACUGUUUGACAAAGUGAAUGCCUGUCUUUCAGAAUAUACAGGGAGGUGUGAUGUACCCAUUAUCACAAGCAGAUGGAAUCCCUAUAGAGUCGGAUCUCAUCUACAUAUCACCUAUUAUAUGUAGUUAUUGAUGGAUAAAUACUUCAACAACUAAAGGCAGAAAGAGAGCAGGUGGGCAUAGGAGUUAGUAAACAUCUCACUGCUAUUGUUUUUCAAGGUGAAGCUAGAGAAGAAGAUUCCUAAGAUGUAGGAGGAAAUUAUCAUACUGAGUAAGAGGGUGCAAUUUUGGAAGGUUGGACUUGAUGACCUCUCCAGCAUUAAGGGUGAAUGAUUCUUUCUAGGGAUUUGGUUUGUUGCCAGAGAGCCUGGCUACCUGCUAUUUAGUUGCUUUGUUGAUUAGCAAAUUUCCUCUGAAAUAUUCCUCACAUUCAUGAGCCCCCUUCCUGGGGUAGGUGGACCCAGAAAAUGUUUUCUCCCAUUUUAGUUGGCCAUGUGUUUGAAACUCAGAUGGACCUAAGUCUUUCAGCAUCAUUGUCACUACUGUAUGUCUAUCCAUAAAAAGAAGGCAUAAGACUCUCUGUAGUAUCACGAAGUUAGCCAUUUGGGAUUGCAAAAACUUUCCUCUUUCCAUUGGAGAGAAAUAGUUUAGAUUAGAUGGUGGAGCCCCUACCACAUCUCCCAAAAUUUAAAUUAUAACAUGAACAGUAAUUUAGGUCUGAUUUUAAUAUUUUGUCAUUCUUAAACCUAAUAAAAGCUACAUCUUCCUAAAGACCCUCCUAAUUUUUAUUAUGGACAGUUCACAAAGACGUUAUUGGUGAUUCAAUCUUGAGUCAUGAAAAGUCAACCUUGAGCCACAAAAAGUCAACCUUGAGCCAAGCAGAUUGGAGAGUCAUACAUGCCAUUCCUGGGACCAUCAAAAAUGGCAGAGGUCACACAAAAAGGCAAAACUUUUAAGAGGUGUUUUAAACGUCGUAUGGGCCAAAGAGAAGCUGGAUUUCCUAUUGGAGUCACCUGUAACACACGUGUGACGAAAUUGGCCUGUGAGGACAAGGCAGUGAGCAGAGAGGACAGCAGUCCUUAUGAGAUCAAGCUCUAAGGUGAGGUUGCAGGAUCUGAAGGCCAGCUCCCCUGCUUGCUCACUGUAUGACUUUAGGCAAGUCAUUUUACUUCUGAAUGAUUCAUAUUGGAAGUAAAAUAUAUGAUUGGUUAAAAUAGUUUCUAAAUUUAUUAUGGGGAUUAAAUGGACCAAUAUACUCGAAGCUUUUCAGACAGAGUCUGGCGCAAAGUAAGCACUUAGAAAAAUGUAAGCUUUUAUUAUAAUAGAAACUAUUAAUAUAAUAAUUAUUCCUGGGUGUAAAAUUAGGGAAAAUCAUUAGAAUAGAAAGGAAGAAAGAAACAAGAAUCAGAAUAGGAGCAAGAGAGAUUUCAAGGAAGGGGUAAGGAUGUUUGGGAGAUACUAGUUUUCCCCUAGACUGGUAUCCAAACUAGAUUUUAAAAUCUUGAGAUAGGGCCUUGUCUUUUAUGAUGGGCAGGAUUUCUUUGCUCUUAGCAUUGAUAAAAUGUGGCAUGACCAGUGGCUGGUUGAAUGAUGUAUAGCUCCAGCUGGAAUCAAGAUCACAGUAUGCUGACCUCUGAACUUUGUAAGAUUGCAAUGAUUACUCUUCUUCCACUCAGAGGCUCAUUAGUGUCAAGCCAUGGUUGUCCCUGUUUUGAUGAGUAUUCACCACCUGGCUACAUGUGACCUGGCUUCUGGUUAUAACCAUACCAGCCUGCAUGACUUCCCAUAGCAUGCUGCCAUCAGACACUGCUCUCCCAUCUUCUGCAACAUGAGAUAACUUUUCACAAUUGGGGCAUGAGGGGCAGUGCUAGUGGAUACAACAUUUUAUGUCAAAUCAGGGGUUCUGCAAAAUGCCCCUGGUUAAUUUAGUCCAGAGUCUAAUGUAAAAAGGUAUCUGAGUAGCACAAAAUUGCAUAUAUAAUUGUUUUCCAUCAUUAUUUUAUAACUUUCCUCAAUAUCAUCCAGGUAUCCUAGACACAUUUGGAGAAUUCACCUGAGCUACAGGAUGUGGUAAGAUUUGGUGAGCAGGUGGUGAUUCUUACAGAAUCCCUCACACAUUCAUGCACAGAACUUCCCCAGCACACUCCCAGGUAGGACCACUUCCCUCUUCAUUGUGCAAAGAUUCACCACUGGUUCCAGCCUUCUCUGGCACUUUUAAGAUAUGCAUCAGGUUUUAUUCAUCUCUGAUUUUCUAGCCUCUGGCAGACUACCUGGUGUACCAGAGGCUUUGUAAGUAAUAGUUAAAUAAAGAGAAAACAUUAAAGCAACAUUGAAGGAAGAGGGUUAACCAGACUACAGAUUUGAGACCUCUAUCUCAGAGGGCCAACAGUCAUGUUGAUGUUUUCAUGCUUUCUUGGAUAUAAAAGUCACACUACACUUUCCCUCUCGGUGACCAUGUACAAAGGUUCAUUUAUAAUUAAUAGACAAAGUCUUUAAUAAAGCAAACCAAAUGUCAUCUUUCCUUUUUUCUGCAAUAUGAAGUCAUUAUUUCCACUGGAUGAAAGCACUUUUGACCUAUAAAAAUAAAAAAGUGAGAUGUUAGGUGACUUCAGUGCAUAAAAAUACUGUUUCUUGUUACCAAUAAUAUAUACUCAACCAUCGUCUUCAUCUUUAUCAUGGUCUCCUGGGGCAAACUGAAUCUGAGUUAGCAGGGUUUAAUAAAAGUUAUUCUGAACAUCUGGGUCAUUGUAGAGACACAUAUUGAAAAUUGAAACACUUUAUAUGUCAACAGAUGUUCUAGAAGAAGCCUGUCUAUUUUCUCUUAUUCAUUUAUGAGUCCAAGGAGAGGAAAAGUUCUUUGUUCAUCUCUCCAUCCAUGAUAUUAUGCUCCAUGCCUGAACCUCACCUAAUGCCUACUAUGUUUUAC